AAAGGCGGAUUUAUCUGCCGCUCAAGGAUGGGCCUGCGGUGCAUUAGCUAGUUGGUGAGAUAGUAGCUCACCAAGGCGACGAUGCAUAGCCGACCUGAGAGGGUGAUCGGCCACACUGGGACUGAGACACGGCCCAGACUCCUACGGGAGGCAGCAGUAGGGAAUCUUCCGCAAUGGACGCAAGUCUGACGGAGCAACGCCGCGUGAGUGAUGAAGGGUUUCGGCUCGUAAAACUCUGUUGUUAAGGAAGAAUACUUGAGGUAGUAACUGGCCUUGAGAUGACGGUA
rnacentral:rRNA from 1 species